ACGGCGAGUGAACAGGCAAGAAGACUCAGUAUGUUGAAAGGCACUUUUGUGCCGUUGUAUGUCUGAAGUUAGGGUCCUGAGAAACGAUGCUUAAGUCUUCUGGAAAGGAGCGCCAUGGAGGGUGAUAGCCCCGUCUAGCAUUGACCUCAUAUAGGAUCUUAACAUGGAGUCGAGUUGUUUGGGAAUGCAGCUCAAAUGGGUGGUAUGCUCCAUCUAAAGCUAAAUAUCUGCGAGAGACCGAUAGUAAACAAGUACUGUGAGGGAAAGAUGAAAAGAACUUUGAAAAGAGAGUGAAAAAGUACGUGAAAUUGUUGAAAUGGAAGGGUAGGCCGCUAACCAUGUAGAGCCGUGUUUGGGGGGAAGAUAGAUGCUGUAGAAUGUAGCUCCUCGGAGUAUUAUAGAUGCAGUUCAUAUUCCCACCCGAGCGCGAAGAUCUCAGGUUCUACUAAAUGGUGGUCUAACACCCGUCUUGAAC
rnacentral:rRNA from 1 species